rnacentral:tRNA from 1 species
GGGUCGUUAGCUCAGGGGCAGAGCAUCUGACUUUUAAUCAGAGGGUCGGAGGUUCGAAUCCUCCACGACCCACCA